AUGGCCGCGGUGGGUGGGGGAGGAGCUCUAGGGAAGCAUGGCCCUUUAGGUAGGCUCGUCGGCAAUGGCACCACAUCGGAAUGCCCGCAUUUCAAGCUUAACACUAUCACAUUCGAGCACUUGACGCGCGCAAGCCGGUCCGCAGGGGCGACCGCUUCGUGGUGCACGGCAACAUGCACGCCGUGGAGUUCAAGGUCGUCGACACGGACGCCGACGUGUCCGUCAUCAUGGCGGCCGGUGUGCCACGACGCCAACCCGUUCAAGCGGGAGGACGGGGAGAGGCUCAACGGCCCGGGCUUCGACGUCGGCAGCGUCCGGAAGCAGCUUGCGCAGAUCCGCGAGCUGGUCAAGCCGCCGCUGCGCCACCCCAAGCUGUUCAGGACGCUCGGCGUCAAGCCCCCCAAGGGGAUCCUGCUGUUCGGCCCGGCCGGCACCGGCAAGGCGCUGCUCUCGCCUCCUAGUCGGGCGCCAACUUCAUUGUCGUCAUCGGGGCCGGAGAUCGCCGAGGCCAAGGCGCCAUCGCGUCCAACCGCGAGAAGACGCACGGCGAGGUGGAGCGUCGCGCCGUGUCCCAGCUGGUCAAGCUCAUGGACGGGCUCCGCUCGCGCGCGCAGGUCAUGGCCAUCGGCGCCACCAACCGCCGCAAUUCGACAAGGAGAUCCACAUCGGCGUGCCCGACGCCCCGACGAGGUCGGCCGCCUCGAGAUCCUCCGCAUCCACUCCAAGGACAUGCCGCUCUCAGACGACGUCGACCUCGAGCGCAUUGGCAAGGACACGCACGGGCACGGCUUCGUCGGCGCCUACCUCGCCGCGCUCUGCUGCGAGGCAGCAUUCCAGCGCAUCCGCAAGAUGGACGUCAUCGACCUCGAAGCGGACACCACCAUCGACGUGGAGGUGCAUGUCCGUCAUCAUGGACGACCUCGUGCACGCCAAGGAGGUGACCAAGCCAUCGGCUGGUGGAGGUCCCCAAGGUCUCGUGGGAGGAUGUCAAGCUGGAGCUCCAGCAGUACGCGGUGGAGCACCCGGAGAUGUUGGAGUUUUUGGGUAUGGAGCCGGGUGCUCUUCCACGGCCCGCCGGGCUACGAGGUCGCGGCUGCAGAUCUUCAAGUCGUGCUCGUCAGGAAGGCCGCGGCCAUGGCCAGCGCCGAGAUCACCCGGAAGCACUUCCUGGUGGCCAAGCAGGGGCGGGAGCUUUGA
rnacentral:rRNA from 1 species